GGAGAGGUGUCAGAGUGGCCGAAUGAGCACGCUUGGAAAGCGUGUGUAUCGUAAGGUACCGAGGGUUCAAAUCCCUCCCUCUCCGCCA
rnacentral:tRNA from 1 species